AGAGUUUGAUCAUGGCUCAGGACGAACGCUGGCGGCGUGCUUAACACAUGCAAGUCGAACGGAAAGGCCCUUCGGGGUACUCGAGUGGCGAACGGGUGAGUAACACGUGGGUGAUCUGCCCUGCACUUUGGGAUAAGCCUGGGAAACUGGGUCUAAUACCGAAUAGGACCACGCGCUUCAUGGUGUGUGGUGGAAAGCUUUUGCGGUGUGGGAUGGGCCCGCGGCCUAUCAGCUUGUUGGUGGGGUAAUGGCCUACCAAGGCGACGACGGGUAGCCGGCCUGAGAGGGUGACCGGCCACACUGGGACUGAGAUACGGCCCAGACUCCUACGGGAGGCAGCAGUGGGGAAUAUUGCACAAUGGGCGCAAGCCUGAUGCAGCGACGCCGCGUGAGGGAUGACGGCCUUCGGGUUGUAAACCUCUUUCAAUAGGGACGAGGCGCAAGUGACGGUACCUAUAGAAGAAGCACCGGCCAACUACGUGCCAGCAGCCGCGGUAAUACGUAGGGUGCGAGCGUUGUCCGGAAUUACUGGGCGUAAAGAGCUCGUAGGUGGUUUGUCGCGUUGUUCGUGAAAACUCACAGCUUAACUGUGGGCGUGCGGGCGAUACGGGCAGACUAGAGUACUGCAGGGGAGACUGGAAUUCCUGGUGUAGCGGUGGAAUGCGCAGAUAUCAGGAGGAACACCGGUGGCGAAGGCGGGUCUCUGGGCAGUAACUGACGCUGAGGAGCGAAAGCGUGGGGAGCGAACAGGAUUAGAUACCCUGGUAGUCC
rnacentral:rRNA from 1 species